GUUUCAAAGGUUUCAAGGGUUUCAAGGGUUUCAAUGGUUUCAAGGGUUUCAAUGGUUUCAAGGGUUUCAAUGGUUUCAAAGGUUUCAAGGGUUUCAAUGGUUUCAAGGGUUUCAAAGGUUUCAAAGGUUUCAAUGGUUUCAAAGGUUUCAAGGGUUUCAAGGGUUUCAAUGGUUUCAAGGGUUUCAAUGGUUUCAAUGGUUUCAAGGGUUUCAAAGGUUUCAAGGGUUUCAAUGGUUUCAAGGGUUUCAAUGGUUUCAAGGGUUUCAAAGGUUUCAAGGGUUUCAAUGGUUUCAAGGGUUUCAAUGGUUUCAAGGGUUUCAAUGGUUUCAAGGGUUUCAAUGGUUUCAAG
rnacentral:lncRNA from 1 species